UUUCGGGAUCUUGAGAGCGGCGUACGGGUGCGGAACACGUGUGCAACCUGCCUUUAUCUGGGGGAUAGCCUUUCGAAAGGAAGAUUAAUACCCCAUAAUAUACUGAAUGGCAUCAUUCGGUAUUGAAAACUCCGGUGGAUAGAGAUGGGCACGCGCAAGAUUAGAUAGUUGGUGAGGUAACGGCUCACCAAGUCUACGAUCUUUAGGGGGCCUGAGAGGGUGAUCCCCCACACUGGUACUGAGACACGGACCAGACUCCUACGGGAGGCAGCAGUGAGGAAUAUUGGACAAUGGGUGAGAGCCUGAUCCAGCCAUCCCGCGUGAAGGACGACGGCCCUAUGGGUUGUAAACUUCUUUUGUAUAGGGAUAAACCUACCCUCGUGAGGGUAGCUGAAGGUACUAUACGAAUAAGCACCGGCUAACUCCGUGCCAGCAGCCGCGGUAAUACGGAGGGUGCAAGCGUUAUCCGGAUUUAUUGGGUUUAAAGGGUCCGUAGGCGGAUCUGUAAGUCAGUGGUGAAAUCUCACAGCUUAACUGUGAAACUGCCAUUGAUACUGCAGGUCUUGAGUGUUGUUGAAGUAGCUGGAAUAAGUAGUGUAGCGGUGAAAUGCAUAGAUAUUACUUAGAACACCAAUUGCGAAGGCAGGUUACUAAGCAACAACUGACGCUGAUGGACGAAAGCGUGGGGAGCGAACAGGAUUAGAUACCCUGGUAGUCCACGCCGUAACGAUGCUAACUCGUUUUUGGAAUGUAAGUUUCAGAGACUAAGCGAAAGUGAUAAGUUAGCCACCUGGGGAGUACGAACGCAAGUUUGAAACUCAAAGGAAUUGACGGGGGCCCGCACAAGCGGUGGAUUAUGUGGUUUAAUUCGAUGAUACGCGAGGAACCUUACCAAGGCUUAAAUGGGAAAUGACAGGUUUAGAAAUAGACUUUUCUUCGGACAUUUUUCAAGGUGCUGCAUGGUUGUCGUCAGCUCGUGCCGUGAGGUGUUAGGUUAAGUCCUGCAACGAGCGCAACCCCUGUCACUAGUUGCCAUCAUUAAGUUGGGGACUCUAGUGAGACUGCCUACGCAAGUAGAGAGGAAGGUGGGGAUGACGUCAAAUCAUCACGGCCCUUACGCCUUGGGCCACACACGUAAUACAAUGGCCGGUACAGAGGGCAGCUACACUGCGAAGUGAUGCAAAUCUCGAAAGCCGGUCUCAGUUCGGAUUGGAGUCUGCAACUCGACUCUAUGAAGCUGGAAUCGCUAGUAAUCGCGCAUCAGCCAUGGCGCGGUGAAUACGUUCCCGGGCCUUGUACACACCGCCCGCCAAGCCAUGGAAGUCUGGGGUACCUGAAGU
rnacentral:rRNA from 1 species